UGAAGAAGGAGAAAGCAUCACCCAAAAUGUGUCUGGAGACCAGAAACAGCGCCGUCUGGAGCUGCUGGCAGCCAUGACUCAGCUGCAAGCCUCCGACACUCUUGGCUUCCACUUCGAACGUCUGCAGCACGAGAGUGCCACGGGUGACGUGGACGAGGCGCUCACCACAGACACCAUCUGCAAGAAUCGCUUAAACAAA